GAUCGGCCACAUUGGAACUGAGACACGGUCCAAACUCCUACGGGAGGCAGCAGUGGGGAAUAUUGCACAAUGGGCGAAAGCCUGAUGCAGCAACGCCGCGUGAGGGAUGAAGGCCUUCGGGUCGUAAAACUCUGUCCUCAAGGAAGAUAAUGACGGUACUUGAGGAGGAAGCCCCGGCUAACUACGUGCCAGCAGCCGCGGUAAU
rnacentral:rRNA from 1 species